rnacentral:lncRNA from 1 species
UCAUUACAUUACUUGAGUUCACGAAGAUGUAAAAUAUGUAAUGAAACAUUGCCAAAUAACUUUCAUUAAUUCAUAUAUAAUUCAAUCAUCAACAGGUUGACGAUUGUCUUUUAGGACACAAUUCAAUCAUCCCCGCCAACUGAAACUCGCAUCUCGGAUAUCCUAGAGUCCUUCUUUUAGGGCUCCUAACUCCCCUUUCACACCUCCAAGCCUCACAUUCCAACCCAAUUCACUUUGGUUUCCAACCAACUCCAAUCCGCC